GACAGAGGGUGCAAACGUUGUUCGGAAUUACUGGGCGUAAAGCGAGUGUAGGCGGUCUGAAAAGUCAGGUGUGAAAGCCCUGGGCUCAACCCAGGAAGUGCACUUGAAACUGCCAGGCUAGAGUAUCGGAGAGGUUGGUGGAAUUCUCGGUGUAGAGGUGAAAUUCGUAGAUAUCUGGAGGAACACCGGUGGCGAAGGCGGCAUCCUGGACCAAUACUGACGCUGAGGAGCGAAAGCCAGGGGAGCAAACGGG
rnacentral:rRNA from 1 species